GUCCUAUUUUCUUACACUUAUAGCAACUCCUAGCUAAUGAAUAACAUACUUUAUAUAAAUGUUUAUUUCCACAUCUUCCACAUGUUGGCAUUGUUGGUAGCUGGCAAGGAAAAUAGUUCCAUUGUCUCCACUGUGGUUGGAAUGAGUAGUUCAUAUUGUCCUUAAACAAAGUUUUUCUUCUUGGGGGGUAACUCGCUGUGCUGCUGAGGUUGCCGGAAAAGGCGGUCCUCGACCAUGUGUAACCAAGAAAUCCACAGUCUAAAACUAGGAGACUGAU
rnacentral:lncRNA from 1 species